rnacentral:snRNA from 1 species
GACAACGUAAUAUAUAAUACAUU